rnacentral:rRNA from 1 species
GAGUUUGAUCCUGGUUCAGAUUGAACGCUGGCGGCAGGCCUAACACAUGCAAGUCGAGCGGAUGAGAAGAGCUUGCUCUUCGAUUCAGCGGCGGACGGGUGAGUAAUACCUAGGAAUCUGCCUGGUAGUGGGGGACAACGUUUCGAAAGGAACGCUAAUACCGCAUACGUCCUACGGGAGAAAGCAGGGGACCUUCGGGCCUUGCGCUAUCAGAUGAGCCUAGGUCGGAUUAGCUAGUUGGUGAGGUAAUGGCUCACCAAGGCUACGAUCCGUAACUGGUCUGAGAGGAUGAUCAGUCACACUGGAACUGAGACACGGUCCAGACUCCUACGGGAGGCAGCAGUGGGGAAUAUUGGACAAUGGGCGAAAGCCUGAUCCAGCCAUGCCGCGUGUGUGAAGAAGGUCUUCGGAUUGUAAAGCACUUUAAGUUGGGAGGAAGGG